GGCGGCCCGAGUGGUGAUCGUGAUUAUUGGGUCUAAAGGGUCCGUAGCCGGUUUGGUCAGUCCUCCGGGAAAUCUGACAGCUCAACUGUUAGGCUUUCGGAGGAUACUGCCAGACUUGGAACCGGGAGAGGUAAGAGGUACUACAGGGGUAGGAGUGAAAUCUUGUAAUCCCUGUGGGACCACCUGUGGCGAAGGCGUCUUACCAGAACGGGUUCGACGGUGAGGGACGAAAGCUGGGGGCACGAACCG
rnacentral:rRNA from 1 species